GAUGAAGAACGUAGCGAAAUGCGAUACGUAAUGUGAAUUGCAGAAUUCAGUGAAUCAUCGAAUCUUUGAACGCAUAUUGCGCUCUUUGGUAUUCCGAAGAGCAUGCUUGUUUGAGUAUCAGUAAACACCUCAACCUCUUCUUGAUUUUUCAAAGGGAGGGUGGACUUGAGCUAUCCCAACAACCUUUACCGGUCGGCGGGCGGCUUGAAAUGCAGGUGCAGCUGGACUUUUAUCUGAGCUAAAAGCAUAUCUAUUUAGUCCUCGUCAAACAGGAUUAUUACUUUUGCUGCAGCUAACAUAAAGGAUAAUUGUCCUCUUUGCUGACUGAUGCAGGAUUUUACGACACUUUAUGUGUUGUUCAACUCGAUCUCAAAUCAAGUAAGACUACCCGCUGAACUUAAGCAUAUCAAUAAGCGGAGGA
rnacentral:misc_RNA from 1 species